rnacentral:misc_RNA from 1 species
AACGCACAUUGCGCCCGCCAGCACUCUGGCGGGCAUGCCUGUCCGAGCGUCAUUUCAACCCUCGAGCACCGCUCGGCGUUGGGGGAGCGGCCCGCGCGCCGCCCCCCGAAAUGCAGUGGCGACCUCGCCGCGUUCCUCCCCUGCGCAGUAGCUCUCAAGAGAACCUCGCAUCGGCGGCGCGGCGGCGGUCACGCCGUGAAACACCCCCCUCAAGAGUUGACCUCGGAUCAGGUAGGGAUACCCGCUGAACUUAA